UACAGAGGUCUCAAGCGUUGUUCGGAUUCAUUGGGCGUAAAGGGUGCGUAGGUGGCGCUGUAAGUCGGGUGUGAAAUUUCGGAGCUUAACUCCGAAACUGCAUUCGAUACUGCGGUGCUUGAGGACUGGAGAGGAGACUGGAAUUCAUGGUGUAGCAGUGAAAUGCGUAGAUAUCUGGAGGAAUACCGGUGGCGAAGGCGGCAUCCUGGACCGGCAUUGACGCUGAGGAGCGAAAGCCAGGGGAGCCAAACGGG
rnacentral:rRNA from 1 species